rnacentral:lncRNA from 1 species
GGCGGGGGAGGUGCGGGGCGGAGAGCCGGGCUGGGGCUGGGCGCACGUCGAGGGCUUUGGCCGACGCGGCAGAGCACAGCCGCCCCACCGGCUUUGGGCCCAGGAUCCAGGCGUCUGGACACAGGUCGAGCUGUCGGCGGGGCAGAGCCACAGGGCCUACAAAGAUGCUGGCUGUCCCGGAGAUGGGCCUGCAGGGGCUGUACAGCGGCUCCAGCCCAGAGCGGUCUCCAGUGCCCAGCCCACCCAGCUCCCCAAGGACCCAAGAAAGCUGUGGCAUUGCCCCCCUCACACCCUCACAGUCUCCAGUAAGCCCAGAGCAGGGAUUGGGGUGGUGGGUGGCCUGGUUAGUGGGGAAGGUCACACUGGUGUCUGGAAGAACCCUGGCAGGUCUGGGCUGGGGGUGCCAUCAUGCUUCCUGCCCCUACACACUCCACUCAUGUUCCCCCUGAUGGGUUAGCCUUAGGUGACCUUGGACUGUAGGGGUAACAAUUCUACUGAGGUGAUCUCUCUCCAGGAUAACAUCUAGGGACCAUUGCACGUAACCUGCCUGGGGCAGGUGUACUUCUGAGCAAGUAGUUUUGUGUGUUCUCAGAGCACUGGGCCUCCGAGACUUGCUUCCCCUCCUGUCAACCACAGCCACCUUAAUACAAGGUAUAUCUAGGGAAGAGGAGACAUGUUGCUAAAAAAUAGUUUGGGGCUAGCUUGAAGUAUCCAGGACAUAACCACCACCCCCAAGCUCCCUAGGUCACCCCACGUGGGGUGGCCUCACCCUAGUGAUUCAGCCUGGGGACCCCCUUUUUCUCAGGGAGCCCAGGCCUGGCCUGGGAGGAGUCAGGGACCACUCUUGGGCACAUGGACAGGCCAUGCAUGGGGCCUCUCUUCUCUGUCACAAAACUGGAUAGAGUCUGGCUGUGUCACUGUGGCCACAAAGAGCAAGAG